ACCCGACUGCUAUCAGAGUGAGAUUAAGCCAUGCGAGUCAACGUAGCAAUACGUGGCACACGGCUCAGUAACACGUAGUCAACAUAACCAAAGGACGUGGAUAAACUCGGGAAACUGAGGAUAAACCGCGAUAGGCCAAGGUUUCUGGAAUGAGCCAUGACCUAAAUCUAUAUGGCCUUUGGAUUGGACUGCGGCCGAUCAGGCUGUUGGUGAGGUAAUGGCCCACCAAACCUGUUACCGGUACGGGCUUUGAGAGAAGGAGCCCGGAGAUGGGCACUGAGACAAGGGCCCAGGCCCUAUGGGGCGCAGCAGGCGCGAAACCUCUGCAAUAGGCGAAAGCCUGACAGGGUUACUCUGAGUGAUGCCCGCUAAGGGUAUCUUUUGGCACCUCUAAAAAUGGUGCAGAAUAAGGGGUGGGCAAGUCUGGUGUCAGCCGCCGCGGUAAUACCAGCACCCCGAGUGGUCGGGACGAUUAUUGGGCCUAAAGCAUCCGUAGCCGGUUCUGCAAGUCCUCCGUUAAAUCCACCUGCUCAACAGAUGGGCUGCGGAGGAUACCGCAGAGCUAGGAGGCGGGAGAGGCAAACGGUACUCGGUGGGUAGGGGUAAAAUCCAUUGAUCCACCGAAGACCACCAGUGGCGAAGGCGGUUUGCCAGAACGCGCUCGACGGUGAGGGAUGAAAGCUGGGGGAGCAAACCGGAUUAGAUACCCGGGUAGUCCCAGCUGUAAACGAUGCAGACUCGGUGAUGGGUUGGCUUCGAGCCAACCCAGUGCCGCAGGGAAGCCGUUAAGUCUGCCGCCUGGGGAGUACGGUCGCAAGACUGAAACUUAAAGGAAUUGGCGGGGGAGCACCACAAGGGGUGAAGCCUGCGGUUCAAUUGGACUCAACGCCGGA
rnacentral:rRNA from 1 species